rnacentral:lncRNA from 1 species
AAGUUUUGGAAAAGCCAAGGGUGUGCUUUCAAAGGGUUUUGAAGUGUUCAGUGCGAAGUGGUAGUGCAAAAAGGAGAAAUUUCUGCCGUAUAAUAAAAUUGGAGCAGAUUCUAUUGCUAAUUCGGCUCCAAUAAUGUCAAAAUGAAAAGGAAUUGCUUCCAAAUUAAAUUGGUAGCUUAUGAAGGUCCCUUGGUAUAUUUUGGAAGUGUUUGGGUCAAAUCGGAGUGAAAACGGAAACUUUAGAAUUUUCUGUAAAGAACGGGACUGAGAAAAUUAGCAGAAAAUGCACAGUGUCAGAAAAUUAUGAAAAUUGGCAGAGAUGUCAGGAACAUAUUUAUGAGGCUAGAUUUGAAGUUUCAGAUUUUUCUGACACCUGUAGAGAGAGAAAUAGCAUCUGGAAGUUAUCUGAUAAAGAUUACAGUUCGGGACAGUUCGCAGUGACCAAACGGGGUCGAAACUGAAAUGUUAAAAUUUCAGUGGACUUGUUAAGUAAAAACGAACAUUCCUGCCAAAUUUGAGCUCAAUCGGACUGUCGGAAGAGCCUAUGAAAGGUAUUUGAUCCGAGUUGCGCAA